rnacentral:rRNA from 1 species
AGAAUCAACGCUGGCGGCGUGCCUAACACAUGCAAGUCGCACGAGAAAGGGUAGCAAUACCUGAGUACAGUGGCGCACGGGUGAGUAACACGUGAAUAAUCUACCUCCGAGUGGGGAAUAACUGAGAGAAAUCUUAGCUAAUACCGCAUAACACUUACGAGUCAAAGCAGCAAUGCGCUGAAUGAGGGGGUCGCGGUCGAUUAGUUAGUUGGCAGGGUAAUGGCCUACCAAGACUGUGAUCGAUA